rnacentral:rRNA from 1 species
UUCAAAGGUCGAACAGACUUAUAACUUCCAGCCCCUACACCGAAAAUAAACCUUAAUCCAACAUCGAGGUCGCAAACCCCCCUGCCGAUAAGAACUCUCAAGGGGGAUAACGCUGUUAUCCCUAAGGUAAUUUAAUCUUACAAUCAAAAUAAAUGGAUCAAAUAAAUAUAAAUAAAUAUAACAACACAAAGGAGGGGUUAAAUAAAUCCCUCCCAUCACCCCAACGAAACAUACUAAACGGCCCAGCGAACCCUCACAAACAGAAAAGAACCGUAAUAAAUGUUAAACUCUAUAGGGUCUUCUCGUCCCAUAAAAACAUCUAAGAAUUUUAACCCAAAGACCAAAUUCAAUAAACAAUUCAAAAUUAAGACAGCCCAUGCCUCGUCAAGCCAUUCAUACCAGAUCACAAUUAAAGAACUAAUGACUAUGCUACCUUUGCACGGUCAAAAUACCGCGGCCCUUCAACACCAAAGUCAGCGGGCAGGCCAUACUUCAAAAACUAA